CCUACGGGAGGCAGCAGUCGAGAAUCAUUCACAAUGGGGGAAACCCUGAUGGUGCGACGCCGCGUGGGGGAAUGAAGGUCUUCGGAUUGUAAACCCCUGUCAUGUGGGAGCAAAUUAAAAAGAUAGUACCACAAGAGGAAGAGACGGCUAACUCUGUGCCAGCAGCCGCGGUAAUACAGAGGUCUCAAGCGUUGUUCGGAAUCACUGGGCGUAAAGCGUGCGUAGGCUGUUUCGUAAGUCGUGUGUGAAAGGCGCGGGCUCAACCCGCGGACGGCACAUGAUACUGCGAGACGAGAGUAAGGGAGGGGGAAGCGGAAUUCUCGGUGUAGCAGUGAAAUGCGUAGAUAUCGAGAGGAACACUCGUGGCGAAGGCGGGUUCCUGGACAUUAACUGACGCUGAGGCACGAAGGCCAGGGGAGCGAAAGGGAUUAGAUACCCGGGUAGUC
rnacentral:rRNA from 1 species